UACGUAGGGGGCAAGCGUUGUCCGGAAUCAUUGGGCGUAAAGAGCGCGUAGGCGGCCCAGUAAGUCCGCUCUGAAAGUCAGGGGCUCAACCCCUGAAUGCGGGUGGAUACUGCUGGGCUAGAGUCCGGAAGAGGCGAGUGGAACUCCUGGUGUAGCGGUGGAAUGCGCAGAUAUCAGGAGGAACACCAAUUGCGAAGGCAGCUCGCUGGGACGUUACUGACGCUGAGACGCGAAAGCGUGGGGAGCAAACAGG
rnacentral:rRNA from 1 species